CUUAAAUAACUGAGUGACCCAGGUGCACCUUAUUUUUAAUUCUUAAGUGAUUACUUUCAAAAUAAUACAGACUAAAAUUCUCAAAUAGAGUAAUGUAGCAUUUUGCUGAAAUGACGGUAAAAAAUGAUUUAAAAAAAUAGUUUAUGAAAUAUAGUUUUAUUAGUACAUUUACAGAUCACUGACACAACAUAAUACUAAAUUUAAUUCUGUUAUUUUGCUGAAUUUCAAUCAUAUAUAAAAAAUCAUAACUUUAUCCGUUUAUCUUUCUGUUACAAAGUUAUAUUUGUCAAAGUAGGAAGAUAGAAUAUAUUUUAUUUAAAAGUUGCCUUGAUUUGUAACUUGUGAAUAUACAGAAUUUAGUAUGUUUGCCUCCAUCUGCAUUCAUGCCCCUGGGCUUUCAAAUGUUAAGUUUCAUUGGGAUGGCUUAUUAAUUGGUAUAGACUUCACAAUGUUUCAACAUUUUGCUUUUUACAGAUUAUUGCAAAAUUGAAAUGAUUUAAACAAAUAUCUUUUAAGGGCUUACUUUAGUUUUUUUAGCUGGUUUUCUAAAUGCCAGUUCUGAUGGCCACCAUUCAGGAGACCAUCUCUGCAGGCUUCUUGUGUGGCACGAGCUCUUUAAGAGUUGCCAGGGAGAUAUAGUGGGUGCAAAAACUGCAUCCUUCUCUGCCCUUCCCCACCAUUGCAUCUAAUCUUUUCUCUUGACUGCCUCCAUUCUGUUGAUUUUGCUCCAAGAUCUUUUCCUCUGAUUUGCCCUUUGUAUUGAUAUCUUUGGGCAGUUGGCCAAGUUUCUAAUUUGGCAUCACCUCAAAAUGUUGCAUUUGCUGCCAUCUCCUUCAUACUCCACUCAUGGCACCUUCCCACCCCAACCUUCUUAGCUCCGCAGUGGCCAUCCCACACACUUCCCAUACUGGGAAUGACGAGAAGAGAUAGUUUUGUAAAUAAGCUAAACUUUCAUAUAACCAAAAUUCAAUUGAUAAUUCCUAAAAUCCUUAUAAAUGCAUUUCUUCGAAAUACAGGGUUUUAGUAAUAUAAAAGUGAUUGUACCUGGAGAGUGAGAUUCAAUACUAGAAGGAGUAAUUUAUAAUUUUAAACCAUUCUAUACAAUUUGAUUUUUUUUUUUUUUUACUACACACAUGAUCUGCAUUAAGUUCAAUUAUUUUUGAUUGGUCUUACACCCUUUAAUAAUAAGAGCUCACUCAAAUUCAGUUUGUGUGGCUGGAUAAGAAACAAAAAUUUUCCUUCUUACUUGUGGUAUCUGCUUCCAUCAGGUUGUUUCACUCUUUCCCAGCUAUAAAAUAAAUAUCCAGUAUAUAUCAAUGGAAGGAGAAAAUCUCCUUGAAGUUAAUGAUGUCAGUGUUGUCAAUCUAUUGCAAUACCUCAAUCCUCUCCUCAGACUAGCAGAGGAUGUUUGAGUUAAAGCAGCAUAGACCUUGUACUAUAUGACCGUAUAAGACUGUGUCCUCAGAACAUAAUGGUCAUCAAUUCCAUUAGUCAAUUUCCACUGUUUUUUUGGAUCCAUUACUAUAUACUGUAUACUGUGUCAGUGUAUGCACAUUCCUGUACACUGUGCUUCUGAUGUUUUAAUGGGCUUAUGCUUCCCAGAUAGGCAAGACUUUUUUAAUCAGGCUAGUAUUUAUAUUUUUAAAUCAAUUGGAUAGUUUACAUAGAGAAAAGUCUCCAAAUUGGCUUUUCCUUUUGUUUUAAAAUAAUUUAUUCUUUCAAUACCCCCCUUCCUCCCCCACCCUUGGCUUCUUCCAGGUAGAUACUAGGAGUACAAACAUGAAGAAAACAUGGCCUUGAUACUGAAAGAAUUCAUAGUCUAGAAAUAAUUAUACUUCAUCUCGCUCCUGGUGAACUGUACCCAUCUUUUUUUAGAUAUGAAAUCAAUGUUUCCCAGACCAGGCCACAUCCUGGCUACUCUCCCAAGUAAAUCACAGUGAAAAAAAGUGAACUCUGAAGUAUGCAAAACUAGUUGGAGGAAUCAAAUAAAUACAAAUUUGGUGUUUUAUAUUCAGUGUAGCCUUGAUUUUGGAAAAUAUAUGAAAAUUCUACAUAGGAGAGUUGCUAGCUAUUUAUUUAUUUAAUUAAUUUUUUUAUACCUUGGUUUUCUCACCAAAGAACCUAUUACAACUUUUCUAUCUUCACCAUAUAAAAUAAUAUAUUAAGUGCUUUCAAAGACGAUUAGUAUACUUAUCCUUCUCUAAAUCAGCAUCUAAAAAGUUAACAUGUCUCUAUCUGAGAAUUUUAAGACUAACAACACUAUUGUAUGGACAACUGCAAAGAUGAUGUGAAUUAGUCAGUUUCAUUAAUUUGUUUUAGCAAAGGGUUAAGAGUCUUCCCAAACCAAUAAUUAAGAGAUUUCCAACUACUCUUGAGGUUUACAUUAACUGCUUUGGGGGCUAUCAGUUUUUAAUAGGUAUACUUGUUGAAAUGCCUAGAUGAGUAGAUUUGAUCUGGAAUGAUAGUUCAUAUAUAAUUCAGUAGGACCAGCAAAACUUCCCGUGUCCACUUUCCCAAGUGCCAACCACAUGUGUUUUUCCCUUACUACUCCAAUGUAAGCCUGAAUUCUAGACAUUAUGAAACAUGUUAGCCAGACCCCUACAGGCUUUUAGUAAACAGAAUUGAGUGUAAAUAAUAUUUAUGACUUUGUAGACUACUUGGCUGAAUCCACCUUAAAAGACAGUUUCAUUCUGCUUAUACAGCAAUGUUUCACCAUCUACAGUAGCACACAUGCACAUAUACAAAUUACACUUGGGCCAAGCCAAAAGAAGAGACAAAAAUGUAAUUCACCCAGGAAAGAAAUGUAUAAAGGAAGGUGACUAAACUGAGACUUCAUACAACUGUUUAUUUGUCAUAAAACUAUCCGUGAGCUAAGAUAUAAGCAUAAGCAUUAAGUGAAUGACAGUUGUUUUAUUGUAUUUUCAACGUUUUUAGUUGUAUCUUAAAAAAUACCAGAUGCUGUUCACAUGAUGCCAAACAUAUGGCUUUUGCCUGUGCUCUUGUGAUCUGUAGUAGAUUGCUAUAAUGUACAGGGCAGGGAAAAAAAACCGAUUUACAGAUAGCCCUGGCCUGAGUGGCUUACAGCUGGAUCUAAUUUCACCGAACUGAUCGCCUCUCCCUCCAGCACCUUCUAUUUUAUCAAAUGCCACAUAUUGUUUUUUUGAAGUGGUUCUUGUUGUCCUAGUGAAUACCACAGAUGGAUAGCACACAGGACAUUUGGUUGUCUGCUUUCUGACUAAGGUCAGGACCUACUGUUGUUCAUGUUUGGGUGGAGGACGUAUUUCAUGGGACUGCCCAAGAAAUUUAAUGAGUUUCAGCUGUCUAAGAGAUAAUGUAUAAGACAUUGCUCACUUGGUUGACAUACUUAGAGGCCAUUAUAGUCAUCUGGGUUCUUAGGCACUAAUAUGGUUCCUCCCAAGUGUGUCUUUUCUUUGUAUCAGUUACUAAGCUGACAUAUCACCUGGAGAGAUGAUGAAAAGGAUAAGAAGAAGAAAGAAUAAAUGCUAAUAAUUACUCAAUUUAAUUGUGAUUGUCUAUAUACUUUUCUGUCUCUCCUACUAGAUUUUAAGCUUCUUGCGGGAAUAAAAUAUGUCUUGUUCAACAUUUAAUAGUCUGCACAUUAGCCCAAGGGCUGUACACAGUAGGGACUUAAGUAUUUUUUGAAUGAAUAGACGAAAGAGCAAGCAUUCAAAGAGUUUCUGUAGAUAAUUAUGGAGGAAGAGGAUGAGUAGAAUAUGAAUGGUAAGAUUGUAGAUCUGUGUUUCCUAAUUUUUCUCUAAGCCCUCUCUUUUUAAGAUCCAUCUUUGUUUCUGCUUGUUAUAGGAUCUGUUUCUUUGUAUGUACAUUUGCUACAUUUUACCUAUCACUCCCUAACUGAUGGAUGCUAAGACUAACUCCAUAUCCUUUUCAACACAAAGACUGACUCCAUCUUCCUUCCAACACGGGAUAAUUUCCAGGCAUCUCUACUGCGCCAUGAUAUUAUGAUGUGGGACCAUAUGGGAAACAAUUGCUAUCCACACUUGCAGAAACGGAAAGGAUAUGGGAAAAUUUGAUACCUGAUAAAAAGUGCCAUAUUAAUGUCCAGUGUGACCCUUCGUGGAAUCCUUCUUGGGUGUGCAGGAAUGAGCAGCUUGAUACAAAUGUGUUAAUAAAUAUCCUAUAGAAAGACUUUCAGGCAUUCAGAGCUUCAUAGAACAAGUAUGGGAUCCUUUCCCACAAUUCUCAAACAUGUUUGAAGGAUUGACUAGGACACGUGAGUAUAUGUACCUAUGAGAACAUAAAAUAAUUUGUGGGAAGGGAACUAAGACCACACAGGUAGGCUCGAUUCUUAGUUCCUCACGUUGUGGUAAUUCUUCAGCUUGAGCUGGAAGAUAGACCACUGCCAUCUGAAGACAUGACUGAUCCAAAUUUAGAAUACUGUUUGAGGCGUUGGUUUAUGUAUUGAAUUUUCAGGGGAGUUGUUUUCUUAUUCUUUUGUUGGGUGAUCAUUUAUUGGAUCAUUUGACUAGAUGGUGGCGGUACAACAAUAUUUAUGACUCUAAAGUUUAUUUGAGGUCUGUAAAAAGAGCAAAUACUUAAAGAAAGAUCAUGAUCAAGUGUGUAGACCUGUUUUAAGCCUGGACCCUAGAACCCUAAUUACAUCAAGAGAGUAGAUCUCAUUCCUAAUUCCUAGUGCCAGCAACACCUGAUAUAAAAGAAUGGCCAAAUUACUUAAUUUCAUAAAUUUCUUGUUUACUUCCUGGGUCUGCUUAGUAAUAUUAAAGAUUGCAGAGAGACUUUUGGGAUAUGACAAUAGAUGUCCACCCUUGAAUGGUCAGUAUUAUAACUAAAUUAGCUGUAUUUUGAACUACUGCUUGUUCAACUUCAUGAACAUCUUGGGCAAAGCGUUUUAUGACUUAUAAACAUUGUAUAGUUCUUCUGCAGUUCUCGUAGCAUGUAGAAUUCUCCUCGCUCUUGGAGUUUUCCACACAGAAUGAAAAUAAGAGAUGUGGGAUGGAAGAGAGCAGUCCUAACAUUUUGGAUUACAAUUGAGGCACACCUUUUCCAUCCAUAGUUAAAUUUUUUAAUGUUCUCUCUCUCCCUUCUCUUUUUUCCCCUUUUACUCUCUCUUGAGAAGACCCAGGAGCCAAACUGGGCUUUAUCCUGAAGUCAAGCAUCAGUUUACUGAUACAACAAAUCCUUACCUGAUUUAAGAGCAGUAGCCAAUAGGCUUUUGACUGGAUAUUUUUUUAUCAUUAGUCAUUAAGGGCCAUGAUCUCCUUUUAGCCAAAAUACCUUUGUGAAAUUUUCAGAAUAUUGUAAUGUUUUAUUACCAUAUAAUAACAGUAGUACUGCACCAGACCAUCCCUUUUUCAUUAGUGAGAUUAUCAAGUAGAUGUAAAGCAAAAGAGCUUGAUGUUGAGUCUAAAUAAUGACCUUAUUUGUAAAGUCUGUAAAAGUGAGAUAGCCACCACAUAUGUACCCAAUCUUCCUUAGUUAUUUCCCAGUCUUGUUUCUGUGAGAGUUUGGUUACCAAAGCAGUUCUCAAAAAAAUUAUCAAAUUUUGUUGGUGACAAAGCCCCCCUAUAUAAAGGUCUAAUAUGAAAGAAGGCUUUAGAUUUAUAUUUUUUCUUUUCUUCUUCCCCUUCUCCUACCCCUACUCCUUCCCCUUCUUCCCCUUCUCCUCCUCAUUAUUAUUUUUAAUAAUUAUUUUUAAUAUUUAUUAUUAUUAUUAUUAUUAAUAUUAUUUUACUGAUGUGGGUUUUUUUCUCUACAGUGUAACUUAGUACAAAUUCCCAAGAAAUUAUCUUAUGUAUUACAAGGAAUUGGUAAUAAAGGAGUGCCAUCCAGCUUCAAUAUUAGUUUAUUAUAAUACAUGAAUAAAUUUGUAUCCUUAAUCACUCCUUAGUAUAAGUUCAUAACCUGUCUACAAUUUGCUACUGAUAUGGGUAAAACAUAUAAUGAAACCAAGGAGUGGCUAAGGAUGCAAAAAUCAACAUUAAAGAUAGGGACUUCAUAAAUAUCAUAGUUACAUGUUAAUCUAUUACAGAUAUCAUGAUUAGAUGUUAGUUCCGUUAACAUUUCAGAACUUUAAACUGGCAAAAAGGGAAGAAUAAACAACAAACAAGAAAAAUGGUGGUGGGAAAAAACAAACAAAUUAAAUAUGAUGAUCUGUGGUUGUGAUCACUUGAAUCUUAAUUGGUGGGUCUUGGACGGAAGCUGUUCUUUCCUGCAGAUGUCUACUUGGUCCUAGGCCUUUGGUGGGUACUACACCCUCCUGAAAGUUAUUUGUUUUUGUAAGAUUCCUAAAAAUUCUCAGUUUGAAAUCUCACAAUGGGAGAGUACAUCAUAUAAUUCUGUAUGUUGUCUUUUUUUAGCAGGCAGACAUGAAUCAAAAACCUAUACACCAGAUUUGCAUGAGGUAAAAAAUAUCUGACAAGGCCCUUUCAAAUAUAACUUUAAAGCAUUUUUCUUUUCCAAAAAAAUGAAGUCUCCAGUUUGGGGUCACUUAGGAAUUUCUUGGGAGAAUGUCAAAGAAAGACAGCUUAAACCUGUGGGAAGUAAGACUGAGUAUAUUUAUGAGUUCUUUGUAGUGCUUUGACAUGUUGAACUGAAGUGAGAUAGUGUCUAAAAUUAGGGGAGAAACAUUCAUAAGGUGAGCUGUAAUAACUUUAUAUGAACAUAAUCCAUACUUUUUGCCUUUUUGGCAACACUGGAGACUGUGAACAUAGGAUCAUGAGAAUCAGAGCUUGACUCAUUGGCCAAAGAGUUCCAAGAAUAUCAGUUAGUUUGGCUAUAGUUUGAUAUUUUUAAAAAUCAACUUUAAUGAAGUAAAUGUACUUGCAAUUAACAGCAUAUAUUUUAAUUGUAUAGUUUGAUGAGCUUUUUUAAAAGAUACAAUCAAAUAAUUAGAAGAUUUCCAUUAACCAAAAAAAGUUCUCCUUUGCCCCUUUCAGCUCAUAUUCAUCUUCUCCCCAAGCCCUAGGUAGGCACUGAUCUAGUUUAUCUCUAUAGAGGAGAUUGUGUUUCCUAGAAUUUCAUAUAAGUGAACUAAUAUAGAACAAAAUAUCGUGUCUGAUUCCUUUCACUCAGAAUCAUGCUUCUGGGAUUUGUCUGUGCUGUUCCAGAUAUCAUUUUCCAUUCCUUUUAAUUGCUGAGUGGUCUUCCAUUGUUUGGAUAAACCAUAAUUUGUUUAUCUACUCAGCUAUUGAUGGAUGUUUGGAUUGUUUCCAUGUUUGAUUAUUGUGGAUAAAGCUUCUUUGAGCAUUCAUAUACAAGUCACAUAAUUUGCAACCAGAUUUAUUUCAAUAUAUCUUUUUCUGAUGAUAAAGCCAUUCAUCAGCAUUCUGUACUAUCUAUCGUCUGUGCACAUUUCCAAUGGUUUGGUCUGUUGGGAUUUCAUAGGAGAGGAAGAUUUUAGUAAGGGCUUCUGUCUGAGUAAUCAUCAACUGGGGCAUUAUGCCCACCUCCCAAGUGUUUAUGCCUCAGUGAUCAGACUGUCUUCUUGCUUGUAUGUAAUUAAUAAGAACUGUGUCACAUGGCCACCUAUAGCUUCAAUUGCAUUUUAAUUUUUUACCCUCUAUAAUAUAGUUAAGCAAAAAUAGGAGGUUGGAAUUACAUGGUAGUUUAAUCAACCUAGUAUCUGUCACACAAUCUUAUUAACCAUACACAAAUGUUUUGAGAGUGUGAAUUUAUUGUAAAAUGAUUGAUGUAUUAGGGGACAAUUUGAACAUAAUGUAAAUUUGACAUUGGCUAAUGCACAAUUUUGUCUACAAAAAACACUAUUUGAAUGCAGAAAAUUGCACGGUACCAAAUAAAACUACAUAGGAAUACACAAAAUGUACACGUGUGGAUAUUUCAAACAUCUACCAACUACCUCAGUUUACUGUGUGUUAUAAGCCACAUUCAUCCACAUCUAUUUUUAUAAUUUUAAGUCCAAUUCAGGAUAAUUUUCAUACCAUUCCCCCACAGUAACUCACAAGGUGCAAUCUUUCAUAUGUCCACAUCCACAAGAAAUCUUCAUUUUUUUCAAAGUAAAGUUCCAUAUUAAUUGUAUUAUUGUGUAUUUUUAACCAUUUAACAAGUGCUAUUAUUUUUAUUAAGUUUCUAUUUUUUUAAUUACUUCAUUUUUAAGAAUAAUUUUAUUUACAAUAAAAUUGAAAGGACAGUACAAAGAUUUUCUAUGAGAAAGAGAAAGAGCACAAGUGAGUGAGGGGUAGACAGAGAGGGAGAGAGAAUAAAGA